UGGGACGAUAGUUUGGCAA
rnacentral:miRNA from 1 species